rnacentral:tRNA from 1 species
GCCUUCGUAGUAUAGCCUGGUGAGUAUAGGCGGCUGUGGACACCGCUUGAGGAGGGUUCAAAUCCCUCCGAAGGCCCCA